GAUGAACGCUAGCGGCAGGCUUAACACAUGCAAGUCGAGGGGUAUAGUUCUUCGGAGCUAGAGACCGGCGCACGGGUGCGUAACGCGUAUGCAAUCUACCUUUUGCAGAGGGAUAGCCCAGAGAAAUUUGGAUUAAUACCCCAUGGUAUGUGAGAAUGGCAUCAUUUUCACAUUAAAGUCACAACGGCAAAAGAUGAGCAUGCGUCCCAUUAGCUAGUUGGUAAGGUAACGGCUUACCAAGGCAACGAUGGGUGGGGGUCCUGAGAGGGAGAUCCCCCACACUGGUACUGAGACACGGACCAGACUCCUACGGGAGGCAGCAGUGAGGAAUAUUGGACAAUGGGCGCAAGCCUGAUCCAGCCAUGCCGCGUGCAGGAUGACGGUCCUAUGGAUUGUAAACUGCUUUUGUACAGGAAGAAACACUGGUUCGUGAACCAGCUUGACGGUACUGUAAGAAUAAGGAUCGGCUAAGGCCGGGCCAGCCGCCGCCGUAACAC
rnacentral:rRNA from 1 species